AUUGAACGCUGGCGGCAGGCUUAACACAUGCAAGUCGAGCGAGCGGCGGACGGGUGAGUAAUGUCUGGGAAACUGCCUGAUGGCGGGGGAGAACUAGUGGAAACGGUAGCUAAUACCGCAUACCAUCAGAUGUGCCCAUAUGGGAUUAGCUAGUAGGUGGGGUAAUGGCUCACAUAGGCGACGAUCCCUAGCUGGUCUGAGAGGAUGAACGCCCACACGGGAACUGAGACACGGUCAAGACUCCUACGGGAGGAAGCAGUGGGGAAUAUUGCACAAGGGGCGAAAGCCUGAUGCAGCCAUGCCGCGUGUGUGAAGAAGGCCUUCGGGUUGUAAAGCACUUUCAGCGAGGAGGCGGUACUCGCAGAAGAAGCACCGGCUAACUCCGUGCCAGCAGCCGCGGUAAUAC
rnacentral:rRNA from 1 species